rnacentral:rRNA from 1 species
UACGUAGGGGGCGAGCGUUGUCCGGAUUUAUUGGGCGUAAAGAGCUCGUAGGCGGUUUGGCAAGUCGGGUGUGAAACUCCGGGCUCAACUCGGAGACGCCACUCGAUACUGCCAUGACUUGAGUCCGGUAGGGGAGUGCGGAAUUCCUGGUGUAGCGGUGAAAUGCGCAGAUAUCAGGAGGAACACCGGUGGCGAAGGCGGGUCUCUGGGCCGAUACUGACGCUGAGGAGCGAAAGCGUGGGGAGCAAACAGG